rnacentral:rRNA from 1 species
ACAUGCAGUCGAGCGGCAGCACAGAGAACUUGUUUCUCGGGUGGCGAGCGGCGGACGGGUGAGUAAUAUCGGGAAUUGCCCUGAUGUGGGGGAUAACCAUUGGAAACGAUGGCUAAUACCGCAUGAUAGCUUCGGCUCAAAGAGGGGGACCUUCGGGCCUCUCGCGUCAGGAUAUGCCCAGGUGGGAUUAGCUAGUUGGUGAGGUAAGGGCUCACCAAGGCGACGAUCCCUAGCUGGUCUGGGAGGAUGAUCAGCCACACUGGAACUGAGACACGGUCCAGACUCCUACGGGAGGCAGCAGUGGGGAAUAUUGCACAAUGGGCGCAAGCCUGAUGCAGCCAUGCCGCGUGUAUGAAGAAGGCCUUCGGGUUGUAAAGCACUUUCAGUCGUGAGGAAGGUGGUAGUGUUAAUAGCACUAUCAUUUGACGUUAGCGACAGAAGAAGCACCGGCUAACUCCGUGCCAGCAGCCGCGGUAAUACGGAGGGUGCGAGCGUUAAUCGGAAUUACUGGGCGUAAAGCGCAUGCAGGCGGCUUGUUAAGCCAGAUGUGAAAGCCCGGGGCUCAACCUCGGAAUCGCAUUUGGAACUGGCAGGCUAGAGUCUUGUAGAGGGGGGUAGAAUUUCAGGUGUAGCGGUGAAAUGCGUAGAGAUCUGAAGGAAUACCGGUGGCGAAGGCGGCCCCCUGGACAGAUACUGACACUCAGAUGCGAAAGCGUGGGGAGCAAACAGGAUUAGAUACCCUGGUAGUCCACGCCGUAAACGAUGUCUACUUGGAGGUUGUGGGCCUUGAGCCGUGGCUUUCGGGAGCUAACGCGUUUAAGUAGACCGCCCUGGGGGAGUACGGUCGCAAGAUUUAAAAACUCAAAGGGAAUUUGACGGG